UGAUACUUGCCUUAAAAUUGGAUUCUGCGUAUUAUCCUUAUAGUUUGGGAUUAAUUUCAAAUUUCUUCCUGAAUUUGUGAGAUACUUCCCUCAAUUAAUAUUGGUCUCCUAAGUUUUCAAUCACGUUCCUACUUUUUUGGGGAUUAUUGUCCAAAAUUGGAGCAGUAUCCCACCCUAUAUUUGUGCAUGAGUAUGUUGAUUGAUUUGUCUGACCUAUUUCCCUAAUUAGAACAUCAUGAACCUAGUUUUUAUUGCAUACUCUAUGCUAUUCCGUUCCUUAUGUGAUCAUAUCUUGUGAUUUCUUUCCUUUUAAACAGUUGUUUGUUACCGUUUGACUUUCAUUCCUUAAUUAAAUGGCAGUCCAUAUACUAAUUUGAUUAUGAUUGAUGUCAGUUCUUUAAUUAAGGAUUGCUACCUUGUUUGUUUACGCAUAUUCAGUACAAUAAGUACACUCCCCCAUUCUCUUUUACAAACACCAACACAUUGCAUCACACUUGACACACACAGACACGAAUAAACUCAGUUUUCUUAACUCUCUCUCUCUUUCACACAAAUAUCUUUGGUGCUCUUUGUUGUUUCUACAUAAUUUUUUACACUUUGUUGUUUAAUGCUAAUCACUCAAUUGGCUGAUAUUGAGUGAUCCUGGUCACUUUUAUCACUCUGUUGGCCUCUACUGUGUUACUUGCUUUGGGUCUGCCUGCUGCUCACUUCUUGUAUAGUGUUGCUCUAUGCUUCUCUCUGCACACUACUGCUCACCUCUAUGCAUAAUAUUUCUCAUUGUUCCUCUCUGUAUACAUUAUUUUACAACUGGUAUGUAUCUAAUUUAAGCUACAGCCUCAAAAACAAUAUGCUUCUAUUCGUGCUGCACUUUCUUUUUUCCUUCUGUGUUUCUACUUUACUUGUGGUUCUGUUGUUCCUAUUGCAACUAGCAUGUAUCUGUACUAAUUAGUAAACAUAUCAUUUUCAUUACCCCCUUCCUUACCCCAAUGCAUGUUUCCCCUUUGCUUCUAUAUGCUAAUAGCAUCCUAUGGGCUACUCCACAACCCUAAAACACCUUCCUGAGGAUGAUUUGGUUUGGUGUCUGGUGCUGUAAGAACUGGACUCCUGUUUGAAGCAUGAACUCUCCUUUAAUGUAUGUAACUGGUUGUCUUAUUUACGAGCUGUUUGUUCCCUUUACCUUUACCUUUGUCUGUAUGCCUGUUGCUUUCAAAACUGACACCAAAGUAACUGUUUUCAAACUCAGUUAAAAUUUUCACUCUUCUCCUAUUUUUCUCAAAAUGUCCUUCAUGUAAAAUCAUUUUUUCAACUCACCUCUUUCAAAUUCUAUCACAAUCACACUACUCUUAGAAUUAGGUCCAUCCCCCUUGUGUAAGCAUUGCUUUAGGUACCUUGAGUACCCACUGAACUUUGAUGAACAAGGUUGGAAAUUACACACUUGCACUUAUCAAUGGUGAUUUGUUUAAGUGCCUGCUAUUGGCGGGGUCUGAAGAGACCCCUAGGGAACUUUGCCGCACCCAAACUCUUGGUGAAGGCUGUGAAGCUCGAAAUAAAUGAGGUUGGAGGUUGGGCCUGGCUGAAGUCUCCCUAUAGAAUUACUUUUUGUCUUAAUCUUCAUUAUUGUAAUUUGAC
rnacentral:lncRNA from 1 species